GAUGAAGAACGUAGUGAAAUGCGAUAAGUAGUGUGAAUUGCAGAAUUCAGUGAAUCAUCGAAUCUUUGAACGCACAUUGCGCCCUUUGGUAUUCCUUAGGGCAUGCCUGUUCGAGCGUCAUUUAAAAAUUCAAGCUCAGCUUGGUGAUGGGUGUCUGUCCCACCUUUGCGUGCGGACUCGCCUCAAAUGCAGUUGGCAGCUUAUCCUCCGGCCCUAAACGCAGCAGAUUUGCGUCGAAGCGCCGUCCGGACGGGCUCUCCAGUAAGCAAACCCCCCAAGAUUGACCUCGGAUCAGGCAGGGAUACCCGCUGAACUUAAGCAUAUCAAUAAGCGGAGGA
rnacentral:misc_RNA from 1 species